GCUUGUCUCAAAGAUUAAGCCAUGCAUGUCUAAGUACAAGCCUCAGUAAGGUGAAACCGCGAAUGGCUCAUUAAAUCACACCUAAUCUACUGGAAAGUUACUAGUUACUUGGAUAACUGAGGUAAUUCUUGAGCUAAUACAUGCGAAAAAUCUCGACUCACGGAGAGAUGCUUUUAUUAGAUCAAAACCAAACGGCUUCGGCCGUCUCAUUGGUGACUCUGAAUAACUUUGGGCUGAUCGCAUGGCCUUGCGCCGGCGACGCUUCAUUCAAAUUUCUGCCCUAUCAACUUUCGAUGGUAAGAUAGAGGCUUACCAUGGUGUUAACGGGUAACGGGGAAUUGGGGUUCGAUUCCGGAGAGGGAGCCUGAGAAAUGGCUACCACUUCCAAGGAAGGCAGCAGG
rnacentral:rRNA from 1 species